UGUGUAUUAUUCUCAAUUCAUUCCCAUUUUAUUAUAGCGAAAAGAUAAAGAUGAUAUCAAAUUACAAGUGUACCUUCAGCUUGUAAGAGGGUAAAAGUACAAGUGUGACGCAAAAACCAAUGCCAAAUCAGCGUGCCCAGUACAAGGAUACUGUUCACCUAUUUAUAGGCACGGAUCGCAGCCCAUGGAAAAUUACAAUAAUGCCCUUUACAUUUAUUAAUAACUCUAUGAUAACUCUUUGAGGUCUAAUCUGGUUUUUCAUCUUUAAGUCGGUUUCUUUUUCCGCCGCUACUCCGAAGCUCUUCUACACACAGCUUCGGCACUGCGCCAACCUUUGUGCUUCUUUGUACCGUGGCUCUGAUCCGAGUCCGAAGGUGCCUGUUAAUGUACUUUGCUCCAGAAACAUUGUUAAAUUAUGUUUUUGAGGACCUUCGGAAGCCGAAGGCCCCCAACACCAUUCCUCAAAUAGGAUUGCUAUUCCAACCUAAGAACUGGAAAUUGUCAUGGUGUCAUGGACGAAGAAUAUAGUAGUACAAACAUUAUUACUAUAUGCAUGAUAUAGCAACAAACAGUGUCGUAUAAAUUGCAGUUAUUUAAUUUGCCAGAGAUCACUUCACUCGAAUGCAAAAUGUAGAGGUAGCAAUGUAUAUGCGCACACGCAUAAUGGAGACAAGGUUGUAACUACAACUGUAUUUUCACUAUUUGUAAUGCUAGUUAUAAUUAUUGUAAAUUGAAAGUAGCGCAAACCAAUUAUGAUUCAAUUCUAAUAAAUAGACGGUAAAAACUUAAUGGCUUGAUAUACUAUUAAAAGUAGAAUAGGUAAGUGUAAAUAUUUCAUUAUGUCCUGGUUACUGAAUUAACUUUGACACCCAAUUUAUAUAUGUAAUGAAAUAAAACUCAUGAUCAAACCUUUUUCAUCAGAAUUGUAGGUCCUCCCUUCUUAUAUUAUCACUGAUGGACUCCUUACAUAGUUGAUCAGGUCAUAAAUUUUGCUUGUUGUAGAACAUUCAUGACUGAAUAAAAACAAAACACAAAGUGUACACGUAGAUAACCCUAAUUUGUCUAAUUUGUGAGACAUAAAGCUUACUGGACAAAGGACUCUGGAUACUAAAACAAAUAUGUUGUGGUAACUACAAUUUUUGUUCUAUAUGUAUAGUAAUGCAUACAGUGGGAUCUUGCAGCUCGAAAUGUUUAGCUUCCCUUUGUGAUAUAAACUACAAAUGCAUAUACUUGAUCUGAAUUUACAUCUAUAAUUUGCAAUAACAAAACAUUACUGCCACGCUUGAUGGAACCGACCAAAGAACAAAGAGCGUGAGGAAAGGCUGAAAGACAAGAGAGUACGUGUGUCAGUCAGUCGAUCAUCCAGCGAGUGAAACCAAGAAAUUCAUGGCGGGUUGAACGAUACACUGGAGGGAGGUACGCACGUUCCUAGCGAUGUGCUCCCAGCGGCGGUGGUCACUAGCCUGUUGACUCAUGGGGACAAGGUCAUAGUCGGCGUCGGCUUGCUCGAGUGCCAGCAGCAUGUAUGGUGACAUUGCUUACCUGUACCGGUGGAGAUAAGCCCGGGCAGGCCGGGAGCUGAUUCAGCCAGUGGUUGAUUGGUAACUCCAUUUCACCAUUCGAUUGAAAUCCCCAAGUGGAAGGGAUGGUGAGAAACCCAUGAGUCAUUUCUAAAAAAGAGAAGACCCCAAUGAGACUGCUCAUCUGCAGAUUCAGAUCGAUGGAUGCAAUGGGGAUGCCCGCUAGCAGGAUUGGAUCUCCUCCUUGGGAGCCUGUUAAUUGGCACGGUCGAUUGCGGUGGAGAUGGAACAGGAAGCUCUGUCUCCUGCUAGAUCUAGUCACGUUCUCUCCUUGCGGGGCGACCCAUCUAGGCGAGCACCGGGAUGGAGCUGCAUAUUGGCGACGACUAGGGUUUGGAUUGGAGUGAGGAGACGAGGGCGGUUGGCGAUAUGAUCUCGUGGGGGUGAAUGGGGCUAGCCGGCUA
rnacentral:lncRNA from 1 species